rnacentral:rRNA from 1 species
GUGGGGAAUAUUGGACAAUGGGCGAAAGCCUGAUCCAGCCAUGCCGCGUGUGUGAAGAAGGUCUUCGGAUUGUAAAGCACUUUAAGUUGGGAGGAAGGGCAGUAAGUUAAUACCUUGCUGUUUUGACGUUACCGACAGAAUAAGCACCGGCUAACUUCGUGCCAGCAGCCGCGGUAAUACGAAGGGUGCAAGCGUUAAUCGGAAUUACUGGGCGUAAAGCGCGCGUAGGUGGUUGUGUAAGUUGGAGGUGAAAUCCCCGGGCUCAACCUGGGAACUGCCUCCAAAACUGCAUGACUAGAGUACGGUAGAGGGUAGUGGAAUUUCCUGUGUAGCGGUGAAAUGCGUAGAUAUAGGAAGGAACACCAGUGGCGAAGGCGACUACCUGGACUGAUACUGACACUGAGGUGCGAAAGCGUGGGGAGCAAACAGGAUUAGAUACCCUAGUAGUCC